CCUACGGGGCGCAGCAGUGAGGAAUAUUGGUCAAUGGACGAGAGUCUGAACCAGCCAAGUAGCGUGAAGGAUGACUGCCCUAUGGGUUGUAAACUUCUUUUAUAAAGGAAUAAAACGAGGCACGUGUGCCUUUUUGCAUGUACUUUAUGAAUAAGGAUCGGCUAACUCCGUGCCAGCAGCCGCGGUAAUACGGAGGAUCCGAGCGUUAUCCGGAUUUAUUGGGUUUAAAGGGAGCGUAGAUGGGUUGUUAAGUCAGUUGUGAAAGUUUGCGGCUCAACCGUAAAAUUGCAAUUGAUACUGGCAGUCGUGAGUACAGUUGAGGUAGGCGGAAUUCGUGGUGUAGCGGUGAAAUGCUUAGAUAUCACGAAGAACCCCGAUUGCGAAGGCAGCUUACUAAACUGUGACUGACAUUGAUGCUCGAAAGUGUGGGUAUCAAACAGGAUUAGAUACCCCUGUAGUC
rnacentral:rRNA from 1 species